AUUGAACGCUGGCGGCAUGCCUUACACAUGCAAGUCGAACGGCAGCACGGGAGCAAUCCUGGUGGCGAGUGGCGAACGGGUGAGUAAUAUAUCGGAACGUGCCCAGUCGUGGGGGAUAACGCAGCGAAAGCUGUGCUAAUACCGCAUACGAUCUCUGGAUGAAAGCGGGGGACGUCGCAAGGGCCUCGCGCGAUUGGAGCGGCCGAUAUCAGAUUAGCUAGUUGGCGGGGUAAAGGCCCACCAAGGCGAC
rnacentral:rRNA from 1 species